GACGAACGCUGGCGGCGUGCUUAACACAUGCAAGUCGAACGGAAAGGCCCUGCUUUUGUGGGGUGCUCGAGUGGCGAACAGGUGAGUAACACGUGAGUAACCUGCCCUUGACUUUGGGAUAACUUCAGGAAACUGGGGCUAAUACCGGAUAGGAGCUCCUGCUGCAUGGUGGGGGUUGGAAAGUUUCGGCGGUUGGGGAUGGACUCGCGGCUUAUCAGCUUGUUGGUGGGGUAGUGGCUUACCAAGGCUUUGACGGGUAGCCGGCCUGAGAGGGUGACCGGCCACAUUGGGACUGAGAUACGGCCCAGACUCCUACGGGAGGCAGCAGUGGGGAAUAUUGCACAAUGGGCGGAAGCCUGAUGCAGCAACGCCGCGUGCGGGAUGACGGCCUUCGGGUUGUAAACCGCUUUCGCCUGUGACGAAGCGUGAGUGACAGUAAUGGGUAAAGAAGCACCGGCUAACUACGUG
rnacentral:rRNA from 1 species